AAAGAAAGUAAGCAAGGGCGCAUGGCGGAUGCCUUGGCUCUCGGAGGCGAUGAAGGACGUGAUAAGCUGCGAUAAGCUCCGGGGAGGUGCAAAUAACCUUUGAUCCGGAGAUUUCCGAAUGGGACAACCCGGUGUUCUGAAGGAACAUCAUCCAUCCUAGAUGGAGGCUAACGCAGGGAACUGAAACAUCUUAGUACCUGCAGGAAAAGAAAAUAAUAAUGAUUCCCCUAGUAGUGGCGAGCGAACGGGGAUUAGCCCAAACCAAUGUUGUUACGGCAAUAUUGGGGUUGUAGGACCACGAUGUCGCAAGAAAUUUAGUGAGAAGAACCCUUUGGAAAAUUGGACCAUAGACGGUGAUAGUCCUGUAUUCGAAGCUAAACGAAGCGUAGUGGUAUCCUGAGUAGCGCGGGACACGAGGAAUCUUGCGUGAAUCUGCCGGGACCAUCCGGUAAGGCUAAAUACUCCCGAGAGACCGAUAGCGAACCAGUACUGUGAAGGAAAGGUGAAAAGCACUUCGAACAGAAGAGUGAAAUAGUCCCUGAAACCGUGCGCCUACAAGCGGUCGGAGCUUCGUAAGAAGUGACGGCGUGCCUUUUGCAUAAUGAACCUACGAGUUACUUUUUCCGGCAAGGUUAAGCAUCUUGAGAUGCGCAGCCGAAGCGAAAGCGAGUCUGAACAGGGCGCCCAGUCGGAAGGAGUAGACGCGAAACCAAGUGAUCUACCCUUGGUCAGGUUGAAGGUUAGGUAACACUAACUGGAGGACCGAACCGAUAAGCGUUGAAAAGCUUCCGGAUGAACUGAGGGUGGGGGUGAAAGGCUAAUCAAACUUGGAGAUAGCUCGUACUCCCCGAAAUGCAUUUAGGUGCAGCCUCGGGAAUUACUACUGUGAGGUAGAGCGACUGAUAAGAUGCGAGGGCUUCACCGCCUAUCAAGUCUUGAUAAACUCCGAAUGCGCAGUAGUCCUAUCCCGGGAGUGAGGGCAUGGGUGCUAAGGUCCAUGUCCUAAAGGAGAAGAAUCCGGACCAUCAGCUAAGGUCCCGAAAUAAUUGCUAAGUUGAACUAACGAAGUCAGAUUGCUAAGACAGCUAGGAUGUUGGCUUGGAAGCAGCCAUUCAUUUAAAGAGUGCGUAACAGCUCACUAGUCGAGGAGUUUGGCGUGGAUAAUAAUCGGGCAUCAAGCAAUUUACCGAAGCUAUGGGAUGUGCAAACAUCGGUAGGGGAGCAUUCCACUCCGCGUCGAAGGUGAAGCGUGAGCUUUGCUGGAGCGUGUGGAAAAGCAAAUGUAGGUAUAAGUAACGAUAAAGGGGGUGGGAAACCCCCUCGCCGAAAGACUAAGGUUUCCUGAUCAACGCUAAUCGGAUCAGGGUUAGUCGGGU
rnacentral:rRNA from 1 species